GAACACCUCAGCCCACAUAUAUUAUACCUUGUACCCACAUAUGUUGGUUCCUGAGCUCUUGUCCCAUGUCCAAGAAGACUGAGGAUAUGCUGACAGCUGAAGGCACUUCUCCUUGCUGCUGCCAUGUGAAGAUGGACAUGUUUGCUUCCCCUUUCACCAUGAUUGUAAGUUUUCUGAGGCCUCCCCAGCCAUGCUGAACUUUGAACGCUGCCUUUUCAAAAACCACCUGUGGCCUGCCCUAACCCCACAUCCUGUGCCCAUAAAGACUCCAGACUCAGCAAGCAAAGAGGAGAAAGCUGGACAUCAGAGACUAUGGCUCAACAUUGGGAGAGAACCAGCUUGACUUUAGAGGAACAGCUUGAUGGCUAACUUUGGAGAAGAAUCCAGCUGGAGAUGGCCGGACUUCAGGGGAAGAUUACUUUCUCACCCUAUCCUUUUCUCAGCUCCUCUUCCACUAAAAGCCACUUUCAUUGGCAA